rnacentral:lncRNA from 1 species
UUCACUCCAUCUGCCUGGAUCGAUGAUGAUAGUAAACCCAUUCUGAUUUUCGGUUGAUUCUCUGCUACCAACCCUGUUCUGAUGACUAAGGCAAUGCUCAAUAUCUCAACGGACUCCAUCGCUAGUCUGCCUUAAACACCUCCAUUCGAAACCGAGCACUUUUUGCUACAGUGCGGUGAAAAACUAAAAAUUGGAAGCAAAAGAAUUUUAACUGCACGCAGCUUUAUUUUGGAAGUGUAUGGAUAACACCAGCCUGCCAUUCUGGUCUUUCCAAAUCUG